GUGAACUCUCCGUCACUAGGGAUGGACAAUGGAAAUCCCACUCACUGGAAGAAACCUCUUCAUACAGGUAACCCGACCCUGAGUUUCCUGCCAGCAGCAAAUCUACCCUUCUUGCCAUUGAUCCAUGAAGCCCCUGUAUAAAGGCGAUCGAGACCUGACGCUCGGCCUCAGUCUCCAGGACAUAGUAUGAUG